rnacentral:lncRNA from 1 species
CCCACCUCCGGUUUAGACUUCUUUUGCAGGUCCCGAUGGUGACCGCGACUCCCACGACUCUAGCUUCUCUGGCACAGGCAGAUUUUUGCACCAAUAGGAUUGGCGCUAGAGGAAGGACUGUAUCUUCGCAGUACCCUUGUUCUUAAAGGAGCGGUUAACGGGACCGCCUCUGGUCAUCUUCUCCGACAUCCACUCAUCCUUCCCCCACU